UACAGGGGGUGCAAACGUUGCUCGGAAUUAUUGGGCGUAAAGCGCGCGUAGGCGGCUACUUAAGUCGGAUGUGAAAGCCCUUGGCUCAACUGAGGAAGUGCACCCGAAACUGAGUGGCUUGAGUACCAAAGAGGGUCGCGGAAUUCCCGGUGUAGAGGUGAAAUUCGUAGAUAUCGGGAGGAACACCGGUGGCGAAGGCGGCGACCUGGGUGGAUACUGACGCUGAGGCGCGAAAGCGUGGGGAGCAACCAGG
rnacentral:rRNA from 1 species